AAAAAACCCACUACUCUCUCUUCACUUCAUCCACAGCUCAAAAAUCUCCUCCAUUAAUCUUCGUUUUCGAGUCUUCUCUAAUCAGCCAUGGGCUCUGAUGCAGAUAUGGAGGACUAUGGAUUCGAGUAUUCAGAGGAGGAACCUGAAGAGCAGGAUGUUGAUAUUGAGAACCAAUACUACAACUCCAAAGGCUUGGCUGAAACAGACCCAGAGGCAGCACUUGAGGGUUUUGCUGAAGUAGUUCGUAUGGAACCUGAGAAGGCUGAUUGGGGAUUUAAAGCCUUAAAGCAAACUGUUAAGCUUUACUAUAAGCUAGGGAAGUACAAGGGAAUGAUGGACGCUUACAGAGAAAUGCUAACCUACAUCAAGUCAGCUGUGACAAGAA
rnacentral:misc_RNA from 1 species